AUUGAACGCUGGCGGCAGGCUUAACACAUGCAAGUCGAGCGAGCGGCGGACGGGUGAGUAAUGUCUGGGAAACUGCCUGAUGGAGGGGGAUAACUACUGGAAACGGUAGCUAAUACCGCAUACCAUCAGAUGUGCCCAGAUGGGAUUAGCUAGUAGGUGGGGUAAUGGCUCACCUAGGCGACGAUCCCUAGCUGGUCUGAGAGGAUGACCAGCCACAGGGGAACUGGGACACGGGCCGGACUCCUACGGGAGGCGCAAUGGGGGAAUAGUGCACAAUGGGAGCAAUCAUGAUGCAGCCAUGCCGGGUGUGUGAAGAAGGCCUUAGGGUUGUAAAGCACUUUCAGCGAGGAGGCGUUACUCGCAGAAGAAGCACCGGCUAACUCCGUGCCAGCAGCCGCGGUAAUUC
rnacentral:rRNA from 1 species